rnacentral:rRNA from 1 species
UACGUAGGGUGCGAGCGUUGUCCGGAAUUAUUGGGCGUAAAGGGCUCGUAGGCGGUCUGUCGCGUCGGGAGUGAAAACUCAGGGCUUAACCCUGAGCCUGCUUCCGAUACGGGCAGACUAGAGGUAUGCAGGGGGAGAACGGAAUUCCUGGUGUAGCGGUGGAAUGCGCAGAUAUCAGGAGGAACACCGAUGGCGAAGGCAGAUCUCUGGGCCGAUACUGACGCUGAGGAGCGAAAGCGUGGGGAGCGAACAGG